AUGCACGAGCGCGACGUGUCCACCAGCAUAGCGCACCGCUGCGAGCUCAAGUCGUUGCUUGCUGCUCGGGGCUGCGCCUUCUCCCUCCCGCAGCUCCUCGUCGGCGGCCGGCUCAUCGGCGGCCCCAAAGAUGUUAGGCAGCUGCACCAGGCCGGCGGGCUGCGGCCCCUCCUCGACGGCGCCCCAAGGCCGAGCCCUGCCUUCGUCUGCCAAGCCUGCAAGAGGGUCGGCUCCGAGCCCUGCCCAGAGUGCAGCGAGUCCCGCAACAAGAUGCUGGAUCAUGGCAUUACGGAGGAGGAGGAGGAGAGGGUUGUCCUUUUUUAUCCAACUCAAGGUGACACUUCGCUUCUCUCCUUCCUAAUUGCUUAG
rnacentral:rRNA from 1 species